GACGAACGCUGGCGGCGUGCUUAACACAUGCAAGUCGAACGGAAAGGCCCUGCUUUUGUGGGGUGCUCGAGUGGCGAACGGGGGAGUAACACGUGAGUAACCUGCCCUUGACUGUGGGAUAACUUCAGGAAACUGGGGCGAAUACCGGAUAGGAGCUCCUGCUGCAUGGGGGGGGUUGGAAAGUUUCGGCGGUUGGGGAUGGACUCGCGGCUUACGAGCUUGUUGGUGGGGUAGUGGCGUACCAAGGCUUUGACGGGUAGCCGGCAUGAGAGGGUGACCGGGCACAAUGGGCCUGCGGGACGGAGCAGACUCCUACGGGAGGCAGCAGGCGGGAGUCUGGCGCAGUGGGCGGAAGCCUGAUGCAACAACGCCGCGUGCGGGAUGACCGCCUUCGGGUUGUAAACCGCUUUCGCCUGUGACAAAGCGUGAGUGACGGUACUGGGUCAAGAAGCACCGGCUAACUACGUG
rnacentral:rRNA from 1 species